AGGCGCGUAGCUCAGUUGGUUAGAGCACUACCUUGACAUGGUGGGGGUCGUUGGUUCGAGUCCAAUCGCGCCUACCA
rnacentral:tRNA from 1 species